rnacentral:misc_RNA from 1 species
AAGACUAUAGACCUGCGGAGUACCUGCGGAAGGAUCAUUAACGUAUCUAUGAUGGGGUGCGGAGCGCCCUGCUCCGGUCGAACGGCCGUGCAGCGGGUGCGCCGCCCCCGUCCCACCUCACAAACCCACUGUGAACAUUCACCGGUGGAGGGGGCUCGGUCUGCGCCGUGUCCCCGAUGCCGAAUACCCAAACUCCAGUUGCAAAGAACGUCGUGCGGACUCGGUGCCGCCGAAAACAUG